CCCUUAGAUGUCCUGGGCCGCACGCGCGUUACACUGAUGCAUUCAACGAGCUUAUAACCUUGGCCGAGAGGCCUGGGCAAUCUUGUUAACGUGCAUCGUGAUAGGGAUAGAUUAUUGAAAUUAUUAAUCUUGAACGAGGAAUUCCUAGUAAACGCAGAUCAUCAAUCUGCAUUGAUUACGUCCCUGCCCUUUGUACACACCGCCCGUCGCACCUACCGAUUGGAUGGUCCGGUGAAGCCUCGGGAUUGUGGUUCUUGCCGCUUUAUUGUAGCGUGACCGCGAGAACUUGUCUAAACCUUAUCACUUAGAGGAAGGUGAAGUCGUAACA
rnacentral:rRNA from 1 species